AAAACUUUCAACAACGGAUCUCUUGGCUCUGGCAUCGAUGAAGAACGCAGCGAAAUGCGAUACGUAAUGUGAAUUGCAGAAUUCAGUGAAUCAUCGAAUCUUUGAACGCACAUUGCGCCCGCCAGCAUUCUGGCGGGCAUGCCUGUUCGAGCGUCAUUU
rnacentral:rRNA from 1 species